rnacentral:tRNA from 1 species
AGAGAUGGCUCAGUGAUUAAGAACACUGGCUGCUCUUCCAGAGGUCCCUGGGUUCGAUUCCCAGCAUCUCUU